UACGAAGGGAGCGAGCGUUGUUCGGAAUCACUGGGCUUAAAGCGUGCGUAGGCGGAUUUGUAAGUCAGAAGUGAAAUCCCGGGGCUUAACCCCGGAACUGCUUUUGGGACUGCAAGUCUGGAAUUCGGUAGAGGUUAGUGGAAUAUCCAGUGUAGAGGUGAAAUUCGCAGAUAUUGGAUGGAACACCAGUGGCGAAGGCGACUAACUGGACCGACAUUGACGCUGAGGCACGAAAGCGUGGGUAGCAAACAGG
rnacentral:rRNA from 1 species